CAGUGACUCAGGUUAACACUAAACUUUAAACAGUCCCUCUGUGUCUCUGUGUGUGCUAAACAUGUAGGACUGAGUCAGGCUGCAUUGACUGUGGGACUUUUCUGUGUUAAAAGCAAGUUGAAGACGCUCAGAAACAUUUGAAGAUUAAAAUUUAGCAUUAUGGCUGCUCGUGGUGUGUAAAGCUUCUACUCAGCUGUAUUUUUGUUACUAAUUUAUGUUUGUUGUUGUUUAACACAGAUUUCAGAAGAGCAAAGAUGAGCACUGUUGCUUAAUCCUUAAUAGUUUAAGUGGAUUGGAAAUAAAAAAAUUCCAGAUUUUUCUUCCACAGAAGUUUCAUUUGUCAGUGUGAUGAGGGGGCUGCAGUGAGGACACAGCCUGGUCACUGAGGUCAGAGGAGGCGCUGAAAGGUUUCCCUAAUAGUUCCUGGUGAAUCAAAGCAGGACCAUAAAGGUUGCUGGACUGCAUGAUGGCCUUACCCCUGAGCAGUCAUCCUGUUAAAGGAGGAACCAGUUAGAAGCUGUUUUCAAAGUAGCUGAGCAGAUUUCAUCUCAAUAGAUCAAAGCAGCUCGUGCUCUGUCUGCUUCCAUUCUGAUGGCAAGAAGAAGAAGAAGGAGAAGACUUCAGCGAAGUGGCAUUCAUGGUCUCAGUGGACAGUCAUGGUCACACACUGCAUGUGGUUUUAAAAGCAACAUAUCUGUUCACCACAACAAUGGAGAUGUGUAAUAUUAGUGCAGCUACGGUUUGUUCUUGAACAUCAGUUCUGUUUUCUACUUUGACCACUUAGACCAAAAAAAGUGUUGUUUUCAGAUUCUUUCUUUUUAAAUCUAUAAAGCACCUGUUCAUUUUUUAUUACAAUUAGUUUCACAUAAAUGUUAGUGUUUCCUUUAUGAUCUUUUAAUGCUUACGCUACACUGUGCACAUCUACAUAAGAGACGUUUCUGUUACCUAUGUAUGAGACUGGGCUGCUUGACUACGAUUUGGAAAUGGAUGCAAAAUCACAUGGAUCGUGCUAUUGUUUGUUUUUUAAUAUGAUGGACUGAACACAGGAGGUAUCUGACUAAGCAAAGAUUAGUCCGAUCCCAUUUCUACCUGUCUCUGCUGUUUCAACUGUAACUGUCAGGAUAUAUAUUUAUUCCAGCUCUCAUAGGGCAAAGAAAUGACUCAGACUUGUCAAAUGUUCUUUGACUUGAUACACAAUAUCAAGUUCA